UGCCAGCCGCCGCGGUAAUACGAAGGGUGCUAGCGUUGUUCGGAAUUACUGGGCGUAAAGAGCAUGUAGGCGGAUGAAUUAGUCAGAGGUGAAAGCUUGCAGCUUAACUGUAAAAUUGCCUCUGAUACUGUAGUGCUUGAAUCACGUUGAGGUCGGCGGAAUGUGACAUGUAGCGGUGAAAUGCAUAGAUAUGUCAUAGAACACCAAUUGCGAAGGCAGCUGACUGGGCGUGUAUUGACGCUGAGGCACGAAAGCGUGGGUAGCGAACAGGAUUAGAUA
rnacentral:rRNA from 1 species